GUAUUUUGAAUUAAGUAUUCAUAAUAUUUUUCAGACAAAGAGUUAAAAGAUAAAGGUUGAUGUUUGGUCGAUCUCCAAGAAGAAGAUCGACUGACAUUGCACACAAGGUGGAUAUGGAUUUAAAAAGUGCCAUAAAACACUUAUUAUGAAUGAUCCUUCCGCAGGUUCACCUACGGAAA
rnacentral:misc_RNA from 1 species